ACAGCUUGUAUUUGGGGUAAUAAAUAACUGAAUGAAGAACUUCUUUUUAAAUACAAACAGAUAUUUUCGAACAAAUGUUUGUAUUGUACAGAGAUCAAAUCCGCAACCAUCAGAAGGUGAAGCAGUGUGUUACAUUACUUCACUACCAACGUUAUCUAUCUAUAUUAUAUAUAAAUCACUACAUUAUGGACAUAAUACACUGCGGCACCUGUUCAACUCUUCAUGCGUUGCCGCUCUUGAGAACUACAGUAUUACGGCUCUUGUGUCAGAGAUUUCACUAUCUAACGUAUUAUUCAGACCGAAACACAACGCAUGCUUUGUAUAUGGUACCAAACUUAUCUAGGCGAAUCCCAUAAAACUAUAAGAAUAGUAAAAGUACCUAUUAUUACACUUCAUUACAAAUACAUACAAAAUAUUAUAUAUUACAUAUAAAUUAGAACGUCAAACAAGCUAACGUCCCACCUGAUGUAUUCGUUGUCUAUAAACACGCAUAUUGCCAUGGACAUAACACAAUAUACUGUGUCGAUAAUUAAAUCUAAUAAUCAGUCAUAUCAGUCGUGAUUAAAAUUUAACACGAGAGUAUAAUUCUAUGUACUCCAAAUUUUAUUAAAAUAAAAAGAAAACCAAAAAAUCUUUUAAAUUAAAGCAAUUAAACGAACGUAACUCAUUUUGUUAAAAAUAUUUUCACAAAAAAGUUCAGGAAAUACAUUCAAACAGUAUGAAAUUACCAGCCCAGCACUUGUACGUAAUCAUUCAACUGAAACGUAAACAGUAAGUUCAAAGCGAUAUCACUGGCAUUCAUGUUUAAUUAUAACCAGUAUGCCUUGGUGUUAUUUCUGUAGAUCAUCGAUUUUUCAGUUUCUGUUAUAAGAAACAUAAUAUAUGCUGUUAAACAACUUUUAUUGUAUUUCUCAAUCUGUAUAUAAUUAUAUAUACGCGAUAUUAUUUUACAAAUAGCCGUAGCUCUAUGGUCUAUGGCAUACAAGAUUGCUUUCAGCAAAUAAGGUUUUAGGUUCGAACCUAUUUAGAACAGAUUUUACGAAAUUGCUAAUACAUCCUCCUCCGUGCAUUUACCAAAGCCGAUUUUCCUUGACAUGUCCUUUUAUAUGGAAACUGCAAUCAUGCUAUGAGGUCACUUUACUACAAAAGCAACACCGUAAAGGCUAUAUGGAAUAUAUUUCUUCCGCCCAUAACUCUUCUCAUGUAUUGCUAUCAAAUAUUGCAAAAGACAACCUUAAUCUACUUAUUAUUAACAUAUUUAUUAUGUAGAUGCUGGUAUUUAUUACAUAUAUAAAAAUAUUAUGUAUAAUAUUAGUAAUAUUGUAAAUGUAUGAAAGAGUUUCUUUGUUUUUUACCUCUUGAUUCUUCAGAGGCUCAAUCUAUGGUCAUGAAAUUCGGUACACGUAUAUAGCAUCACAAAAUUAGAAUAGACAGAGAAGUACCCAGGCUACUUUUUAUUCUCUUCAAUCAAUAUACUUGUUACACGGAUAAAGUCGCGAAUAGAAACUAGUAUCUAAUAUUAUAUGAAAUAUUUAUAAUGAAUCUCAUCUAAUAUACUAAAUCAUACGUAGACGUAGCACAGUCCCUACAAAGAUCGUAGCGUAUAAAUUACUCACUAUGACAUCAUUUUUGUUUUUGUUGUUUCGCUAUUAUUGUUUCCUGUUUUGAAAAGUAAAGUACAUUAAUGUUUGUGACUACAGUACCGUCGUCUAAAAUUAUAGCUGAGCUGAGAAUUUGUCCUCGAUUUCGUCUGUCUAUAUUAAUAAAAUAAAUAAAUUAACUUCAGUCACUUUUUAUUCCAUUUAUUACAGAAACACUCUCUAGAUGAAAUUAUAACAAAUUGAAACACGUAAUAUAUUAAUCCAUUUUCUAUUUACAUUAUUAUAGGACAUCAGCAAACUAUCUUAUGGUCGAAUCAACUAGAACUUUUGUGUACAUUUUCAUUCAUUCCUAUUGAGACGGACUAUACUCGUACGUAAGCAAAUUAGCGUAUUUAUGUUCCAAGAAGGGCCUGACUCCUUAAAAAGGCUACUUUAAUACAUCUCUUUGCUCAUAGUUGAAAGGCGCGAACAUAAGAUAAUUGUGUGGAUACAGCCCACCCAAUCCCAUUUUAAAUAAGCCUAUACGUAACCUAUUAGAUUUUUGAAUAUGUAAUUUAGCAUUAUUUUGAUAAAAGCUUUAAAGUUAUUCGAAGAAGUAAUGUACUUGUAAACACUCUUUAAACUUACGUCACGGUUGUUUACAAUUUUAUACAUUUUAUAAACGAGAUAUUUAGGUACCGUGAUUACCCAAUUAUGUCGACCCGUGACCGUGACAGGACGCUUGUAAUUGGUAGCAGCGUCAAAAUAUCGGGAGCUCACAAAGAUAUCACGACGGUGCAGUGCAGGCAGAGUCACCCGACCGCCCGGCGAUGGUUUGUUGACGUUUUUUUGGUAUACAUUCCGACAAUCGACAACAGCUGAUCGCCACAACAAGCUCAGUGAGCGACCCUGCUGCAUUUCUAUUGGUUUAUAUUCACCCCAACUUAGUUCGUCUGUUGUUAAGGUCCCUUCACGCGUGUACUUAAUAAUAAUUUUAACCAACUUUUCUCAAUAGUUCGGUAAUAGGUUGAUUAUUUUUUUAAUGUACCUAUUUAUUUUAUUAAUAAGAAAGAGAGAAUCAUGUGGACGAUGACAAUUCUUUUUAUUUUUUUUAAGCGUUAGUUAUAUUGUACUUGUAUGUGAAACAGUUCUACUAAAUAUUCGCAAAUACGUAAUUGAUAAUGUACUUUAUAAUUAUAUAUAAUUUUAUUAUACUUAGCAAUGUUAAAACUUACUUAUCUCAUCGGAUACUAUUUUAUAAUUACUAAAUUAGAAUAGUUAUUAAUUAUUAAUAUGUAGAUACGAGUAGGUAUGGAUACCUUUUUACCUAAUACUUACAUAAACUUGUUAUAAUAUUUAUAUGUAUACAUAUUUUGAUUGUACCUAAAUCCAUUAGCAAAUUACAUUGGACAUACCAACAAAUGUUAUUAAUAUAAUUUGUUUAUAAUAUAACCAGUUGAGUGUUAAUUGUACAAUUUUAUUAAUGAAUCUAUAAACUUCUCUGGCGUUCAAUGGAAUUCACUCAUAUUUAUGUAUGAAUGUGUAUGCAAAAAAUUAAUUUAACAGGCUGUGUCAUAUUCAGGGCAAAUUUUAUUACAAUUAUUCGCCAAAUUAUCAAACAAGAUGAAUUCCUUGAUAAAUAAACUUUAUUCUUUUUCCUUUUUAAUAAACAUUUUCAUUUUAACAUAUUUUUUUAUAUCACGAAGGCGGCAAACAAGUAUACAGCCCGUCUGAUGGUAAAUGGUCAUUCGAGCAUAUGGACGCCUACAACACUAGUGGAAUCCCAAGCGCGUUGUCUACCCUGAAGAAACAUUAAUAUAUCCUUUUUGAAGAGCUCCAUAUUGUAGUCUCUAGGGAAAAUCUCGGAACUCUUUUGAAACCGCACUAUACGCAACCACUUAGGUUCAAGCGUGUUAAAAUAAAUCCCCUGUCAAUGUGAUGUUUAUAUUUUAGGAUUGUUAUUGCAUUUUUUUAUGCCAACUUUUGAUGGAUAUGUAUAAAUUUUGGAAUACCGAAUUCGCCAGAGUUCAAAUUUCGUAUUAACCUUAACGAUAUCAUACAAUGCAAUUUUUACGUGUUUCAUGAUGUAUUAUAGAUACUUAUUGAAAUAUUAAAGCAUAAAAAUUGUAUCAGGUACUUACUCCGACAUACAGAUUGGUAAACGAGAGAUUGUUACAUAAAAUAUAUUUGAAUAAAUCGACCUUCAACAAGAGAGUUUAUCAGCUGCGAUGAUCACUUGCAAGAAAGUGAAGUGAUCUAGUUUGUACUCUGCCCAUAAAAAUUUUUAUUUUAUAUCGCAAAAAUAUUAGUUGAGCUAUUAAGACUGUAUGUUAAAGAGUAACAAAUAAACAAAUCCAUUAUCGCAUUUAAAAUUUUAUACUAAUUAUAUUAUUUAUAUUCUA